rnacentral:lncRNA from 1 species
CCAGCCAAAGAGGUAGGUUCUGUGCCAGGCUACGGUCAAAGGUUGGAUCCCAGCAAAAAGCGGUAGGUUCGAUCCCAGGCCAAGUGAUAGGCUCUCUGCCGGGAUACAGUCACAAGUUCGAUCCCAGCGAAAAUUGGUAGGUUCGAUCCCAGCGAAAAGCGGUAGGUUCGAUCCCAGGCCAAGUGGUAGGCUCUCUGCUGGGCUACGGACACAGGUUCGAUCCCAGGCCAAGUGGUAGGCUCUCUGCCGGGCUACGGUCACAGGUGCGAUCCCAGCGAAAAGCAGUAGGUUCGAUCCCAGGCCAAGUGGUAGGCUUUCUGCCGGGCUACGGUCACAGGUUCGAUCCCAGCGAAAAGCUGUAGGUUCGAUCCCAGGCCAAGUGGUAGGCUUUCUGCCGGGCUAUGGUCACAGGUUCGAUCCCAGCGAAAAGCGGUAGGUUCGAUCCCAGGCCAAGUGGUAGGCUCUCUGCCGGGCUACGGUCACAGGUGCGAUCCCAGCGAAAAGCAGUAGGUUCGAUCCCAGGCCAAGUGGUAGGCUCUCUGCCGGGCUACGGACACAGGUUCGAUCCCAGGCCAAGUGGUAGGCUCUCUGCCGGGCUACGGUCACAGGUGCGAUCCCAGC